ensembl:lncRNA
AAAUGUUAUCGCUGCGGAAAAAUGUCUCAUGAUGCGAAUGACUGCUGGUUCAAAGAUAAAGAGUGCAGAAAAUGCCAUAAAAAUGGGCACAUCGAACGUGUAUGCAAAAUGGGCAGACAGAGGAUGCAAAAAGACAGAACACACAAAGUGAAACGUAAAUCCGCUACUGUACAUCAAGUAACUGAAAAUGAAACAAACACAAGUUCAGGUACAGAUGAUCUUUCAUGUUUGGAACUGUACAGUAUUAAGGAGACUGAUCGAAGAGUUAUUUGGCUUACACCAGAAGUGUCAGGAGUCAAACUCAAAAUGGAGUUAGACACUGGAUCGGCCUUAUCAGUCAUCUCAGCAGCUGAUUACCAGCGACUGUUCUCAAAAAUACCACUGCAAAGCACAUCAGUGAUAUUAAAGACCUAUACUGGUGAAAAAGUGUCUCCGGAAGGGAAAUUACCAGUAAUUGUGAAGUACAAAGGAAAUCAGCAGCAAUUGAACUUGUAUGUGUUGGGAAACGGAGGGCCUGCAUUGUUCGGACGUGAGUGGCUGAGGAAAAUACCUGUGGACUGGCACACAAUAAAAAACCUGGAUGUGUCCCAGCAAGUCAAUAACAAAGAGACACAAAAGACCCUAGUGCAAAUUUUAGAAAAUGCAGAACCUGUGUUUCAGAAAGGAAUAGGAACACUUAAGGGAAUAAAAGCAAAUCUGGAGUUGGAAGAAAACACUUCUCCAAAAUUCUUUAAAGCUCGCCCAGUCCCGUACGCAAUUCGUCCUAAGGUGGAGGCAGAGCUGGAAAAUUUGGAAAAAAUGGGAAUUCUGACAAGGGUUGAAUGGAGCGAAUGGGCAACACCCAUAGUCCCAGUGAUCAAAAAAGGGAAAGCAGGAGAUGUGCGUAUUUGCGGGGAUUUUAAAGUGACCAUUAAUCCAGCGCUUCAUGCAGUACAGUAUCCCCUGCCACGCAUUGAAGACAUUUUUGCAUCCUUGUCUGGUGGAGAACACUUCUCAAAAAUUGACCUAGCCCAAGCUUACCUCCAAAUGGAGAUGGAUGAGAAAUCCAAGAAAUUCUUGACCAUCAACACACAUAAAGGGCUCUAUCAGUACAACCGUCUUGUUUUUGGAAUUGCCUCAGCCCCUGCUUUGUGGCAGAGAGCGAUGGACCAGGUGUUGCAGGGUAUCCCGGGAACGCAGUGUUACCUGGAUGAUAUCAUUGUAACGGGGAAGGAUGAUUCAGAUCACCUCCAAAACUUGCAACGGGUGCUGAUGAGAUUGUGUGAGUAUGGACUAAGAGCCAACAAAGAAAAAUGUGAGUUCUUUAAGUCUCAGAUUUCUUACUGUGGUCAUGUG